GGAGAACGGGGCACGGACGUUGGACUCACGCGGCCAUCGAUGACCGGUGGUUGCCUUGCCUCGUUCGUUGAAAUUUCUAUGGAAUACUAUAAUAUAAUAGAUCGCAAUUUUACGAAUAGCCAAAUCCGGGGAAGCCGAUUAAGUAUACGCGUUCCUCCUCACGGAGGAUGAUCGCGCGAAGGAAUUGCGGCAUCGACGAAAUACAAAGAAAAGAUACGUCAUGGCGCUACGAGUGAGAUAAAAAUCUAGGUGAAUGUUGUGCGUUACAUCGAUUCGAGAUACAAAUACUCGAAAAAUUUGAAUACAUUGCGGACAAACGAUGAUCGUUUCAGCCUUUCAGUGUGAAACAAGUACUUACGUUUCGCCGAUUUCCGAGGAACAACCCGCAGGCGACAGGACUCACCGCUGUGUGUCCAGUAGUCGGUGUCGUGGCAGAGCGUGGACCAGUCAUUCUCCAAAUCUCGGGAACUCGCCAUGGCCGGGCGCAACGAAGGAAUCCAGUCCUCGUCGCGCUGUUACGUUGGUUAUCUCCGACAGCAAGGAACUCGCCGUCGAUCACUGCACGCGCACCGCGCACGAUCUACCUGUCGCGCCGCGAGCCCGCGCGAAAUCCUUGCGUCCUUUCGCCACGCGUGAAUCCGCGUGAAUCGGGAGAGUCGCCGAAUCAAUUUCGCAAAACCGCGCGAGAAACUUCGAGGAAGAAGUCGCGGGGAAACGGGCGAAAAUUAUUUUCGCGGCCGCGAGGGUGUCGGCACGACCACGCGGAAAUCGGCGUGGAAACGCGCCACGGACAUCGUUCCGCUAACAGCAACGCGUGAAAGGACACGAGCCGAAGCUGGGGCACAUGGGCGUCAAAGUAACCGGCACUACCUCGCGACACCCGGUUCUAUACAUUCCACACGUACGCACACGCGCGCGUAUACGUGUCGCUUACAAGCUCGUUCCACCUCUACUCGUCGUGCGUGCACUUGUUCACCGCCCUAUCGCUUCUUAUGUGUGUUACCGUUAUUGUAUUGCCGUUACCGUUGUGGAAUUUCAUGUGCGUGGAUUUUCGGACUGUUUGUUUAGUUCACCGCUUUUGUGAAAUGUUUACGAUGCGCGCACUCGUGUCGGCACGAAACCCUCUACUGACGUAACUUAUUACGGACUGCUGUGCCGUUCGCAUUCGACGAUGCUCGAGCUAAAGCUGAUUUCUGGACUUCUGUACAAUUAUCGAUUUCAGAGUGAAUGCGAAAAAAUCUGAUUAGCGAUUAUUGAUAAAUGAGCGACUGAUAAGCGCCCGCUCCGAUCAGUUAUUGUUGUUCGAUCUUAUUCUGUUAUUAGUCCGUCUGCCAACAGAUUUCAAGUAAAUUUACGUUAAAUUAAAAUUAAUGCAAUCUGCUAGCCACUGAAUUGUUUGGAAAACAUAUUUUUUUGCCUUGUUGAGAGAUUGUUGAACCGAUACAAAAAUUCAAUUAUAUAUAUUAUACUAAAGCAACGCAGCGAACUGAAUACAGCAGUAAUGAAACCGCAUAUAAUUGAAGAAAAUUAUUUAUAUCAAUUCAAAAAUCUUUUAAAGAUAUGUAUGUGGAUCGCUACAUAUUUAUGUUGCUAAAUUAAGAAAAAUAUUUUUUAUAAUGAUGGCUCUGUGUGUGUGUGUGUGAGAUAUCCACAUGAUACUUGAGAAUAUAGAGACUGUAAGAAGAUUUGCUUAAUUUAUUAUAAAUGGAUACUACAAUUUCA
rnacentral:lncRNA from 1 species